rnacentral:ncRNA from 2 species
UUUAGUGGCCCCAUCGAUGGUCCCGGUCGGGCGGCGUUCUGCUCUGCCGGGUGAAAAGGGAAUGCGAAGCGGGCCGGCGCCUUCAGGCGCCAAGGUCCGUCAACCGCAGCUGCCCCCGCAACUGUAGGCGGUGAGUCGGUGCCACGAGCCACUGGACGCCAGGAGACAUCCGGCGCCGGGAAGGCGGCACAGGACCGUGACCCGCAAGCCAGGAGACCUGCCAUUGAUGAGGAACGCGC